GACGAACGCUGGCGGCGUGCUUAACACAUGCAAGUCGAACGAUGAAGAAGAGGAACGCGAACUUCUGUUCAAAUUUCACUUCGGAUUAGUGGCAGACGGGUGAGUAACGCGUGAGCAACCUACCUCUUACAAAGGGAUAGCCUCGGGAAACCGUGAUUAAUACCAUAUGACACAUUCAUAAGGCAUCUUAAGAAUGUUAAAGCUACGUCGGUAAGAGAUGGGGUCGCGUCCCAUUAGCUAGUUGGUGAGGUAACGGGCCACCAAGGCGACGAUGGGUAACAGGCUGGGGAGGGGGAACGGUCAAAAUGGAAAUGAGACACGGUACAAACGAAUACGGGAGGAAGCAGUGGGGAAUAAUGCACAAAGGAGGGAACACUGAUGGAGCGACGCGGCGUGAAAGAUGAAGGAAUUCGUUUCGUAAAGCUCUGUUUUAUGGGAAGAAAAGGACGGUACCAUAGGAGAAAGCCCCGGCUAAAUACGUG
rnacentral:rRNA from 1 species